CAAAGGGAGCGAUUCCGGCAACGGAUGGGCAUGCGUGACAUUAGCUAGUUGGCGGGGCAACGGCCCACCAAGGCGACGAUGUCUAGGGGUUCUGAGAGGAAGGUCCCCCACACUGGUACUGAGACACGGACCAGACUCCUACGGGAGGCAGCAGUGAGGAAUAUUGGUCAAUGGGCGCGAGCCUGAACCAGCCAAGUCGCGUGAGGGAUGACGGCCCUACGGGUUGUAAACCUCUUUUGUCGGGGAGCAAAUUCCGUUACGUGUAACGGAGUCGAGAGUACCCGAAGAAAAAGCAUCGGCUAACUCCGUGCCAGCAGCCGCGGUAAUACGGAGGAUGCGAGCGUUAUCCGGAUUUAUUGGGUUUAAAGGGUGCGUAGGCGGACUGUCAAGUCAGCGGUAAAAUACGGGGGCUCAACCUCCGCCCGCCGUUGAAACUGAUGGUCUUGAGUGGGCGAGAAGUAUGCGGAAUGCGUGGUGUAGCGGUGAAAUGCAUAGAUAUCACGCAGAACUCCGAUUGCGAAGGCAGCAUACCGGCGCCCAACUGACGCUGAAGCACGAAAGCGUGGGUAUCGAACAGGAUUAGAUACCCUGGUAGUCCACGCAGUAAACGAUGAAUACUAGCUGUCCGGGGCGAAUGAGCCCUGG
rnacentral:rRNA from 1 species